rnacentral:rRNA from 1 species
CAAUAGCGUAUAUUAAAGUUGUUGCAGUUAAAAAGCUCGUAGUUGGAUUUGUGGCGUACGGUGUGUUCCGGGCACUUGUUGUCUGAGUAACCUGCUGUUGCCAUCCUUGGGUGGAACCUGUGUGGCAUUAGGUUGUCGUGCAGGGGAUGCCCAUCAUUUACUGUGAAAAAAUUAGAGUGUUCAAAGCAGGCUUAUGCCGUUGAAUAUAUAGCAUGGAAUAAUGAGAUAGGACUUUUUUGCUAUUUUGUUGGUUUGCGCAAAGAGGUAAUGAUUAAUAGGGACAGUUGGGGGUAUUCGUAUUCCAUUGUCAGAGGUGAAAUUCUUGGAUUUUUGGAAGACGAACUACUGCGAAAGCAUUUACCAAGGAUGUUUUCAUUAA